UGCAAGUCGAACGAACUCUGGUAUUGAUUGGUGCUUGCAUCAUGAUUUACAUUUGAGUGAGUGGCGAACUGGUGAGUAACACGUGGGAAACCUGCCCAGAAGCGGGGGAUAACACCUGGAAACAGAUGCUAAUACCGCAUAACAACUUGGACCGCAUGGUCCGAGUUUGAAAGAUGGCUUCGGCUAUCACUUUUGGAUGGUCCCGCGGCGUAUUAGCUAGAUGGUGGGGUAACGGCUCACCAUGGCAAUGAUACGUAGCCGACCUGAGAGGGUAAUCGGCCACAUUGGGACUGAGACACGGCCCAAACUCCUACGGGAGGCAGCAGUAGGGAAUCUUCCACAAUGGACGAAAGUCUGAUGGAGCAACGCCGCGUGAGUGAAGAAGGGUUUCGGCUCGUAAAACUCUGUUGUUAAAGAAGAACAUAUCUGAGAGUAACUGUUCAGGUAUUGACGGUAUUUAACCAGAAAGCCACGGCUAACUACGUGCCAGCAGCCGCGGUAAUACGUAGGUGGCAAGCGUUGUCCGGAUUUAUUGGGCGUAAAGCGAGCGCAGGCGGUUUUUUAAGUCUGAUGUGAAAGCCUUCGGCUCAACCGAAGAAGUGCAUCGGAAACUGGGAAACUUGAGUGCAGAAGAGGACAGUGGAACUCCAUGUGUAGCGGUGAAAUGCGUAGAUAUAUGGAAGAACACCAGUGGCGAAGGCGGCUGUCUGGUCUGUAACUGACGCUGAGGCUCGAAAGUAUGGGUAGCAAACAGGAUUAGAUACCCUGGUAGUCCAUACCGUAAACGAUGAAUGCUAAGUGUUGGAGGGUUUCCGCCCUUCAGUGCUGCAGCUAACGCAUUAAGCAUUCCGCCUGGGGAGUACGGCCGCAAGGCUGAAACUCAAAGGAAUUGACGGGGGCCCGCACAAGCGGUGGAGCAUGUGGUUUAAUUCGAAGCUACGCGAAGAACCUUACCAGGUCUUGACAUACUAUGCAAAUC
rnacentral:rRNA from 2 species